CCUACGGGGGGCUGCAGUAGGGAAUAUUGGGCAAUGGACGCAAGUCUGACCCAGCCAUGCCGCGUGCAGGAAUGACGGCCCUAUGGGUUGUAAACUGCUUUUCUGCGGGAAGAACCCCUCGAUCGUGAUCGGGGCUGACGGUACCGCAGGAAUAAGCAUCGGCUAACUCCGUGCCAGCAGCCGCGGUAAUACGGAGGAUGCAAGCGUUAUCCGGAUUUAUUGGGUUUAAAGGGUGCGCAGGCGGAACAUUAAGUCAGUGGUGAAAGCCUACAGCUCAACUGUAGAAUUGCCAUUGAUACUGUUGUUCUUGAGUUCAGUUGAAGUGGGCGGAAUGUGUCGUGUAGCGGUGAAAUGCAUAGAUAUGACACAGAACUCCGAUCGCGAAGGCAGCUCACUAAGCCGAUACUGACGCUCAUGCACGAAAGCGUGGGGAUCAAACAGGAUUAGAUACCCCGGUAGUC
rnacentral:rRNA from 1 species